rnacentral:misc_RNA from 1 species
UACGAACUGCGCAAACGUUAUUCGGAAUCACUGGGCUUACAGGGUGCGUAGGCGGCCCGGCAGGUCAGAUGUGAAAUCCCACAGCUCAACUGUGGAACUGCAUUUGAAACCGUCGGGCUUGAGUAAGCUAGAGGCGUACGGAACUUCCGGUGGAGCGGUGAAAUGUGUUGAGAUCGGAAGGAACACCAGAGGCGAAAGCGGUACGCUGGGGCUUGUCUGACGCUGAGGCACGAAAGCCAGGGGAGCGAACGGG